UAAAAUUGUCUUUCUCAAUUUUUUUUCUUUGCCAAAUUCGAUAACACAUGACGUUUGUUUGUGUGUUGAAAGGCUAAAUCGAAAUAAGAGAAACAUAUUUUCAUCUUACAAUUUUGGAAGGUGAAACAUUUGAGAAAAAGUAUAUAGCUGCAACGAAUCUUAAGAGACGACGACGUAAUCGACAUUGCCGAGCUUAGAAUUGAAGUUACGAUAGAAUUGUAUCCUCCUUGCAAGCAGGUGUGAAAGAGAGAUUAAAUAAAUCGCACUGAGAGCGCAAUUACACGUCGCAGUUAAACGAAUACGAUCGUCGGAAUAUUCUCUAAGCACGCGUCGGAUUUCUACUGCAGGCACAUCCAUACUAUAUCUGCGUGUCACGCGAUAAUAAGAGGCCUUUAAUCACUUUCCC